AAUAGUCAAAGUUCUUUUCUUGGUGUGGGUCAUGUGUUUAAGGGCUUUCGUGGUGUUACUCAAACGUAAUAAAUACAGUGAAAAAUUAACCAUGGCUCAAUGAUAAAUAUGAUUUGAGACAUUACGUUGAUUAAUCGAUAACAUGUAACAUUGCUACUUAUUAAUGAAAGAGGUAUCUAUUUUGGCAAUAAUUCUAUAGGGAGAAGUUAGGGAUGUUCAAGUAUCAUGUUCUUUGGUUUUUAUUAAUCGUGGGUGUAUUUUAUUAUUUCCAGUGGAGGUAUGACUUAAUUGAUACAGAUAUAAAAAUGAAUAAACUAAAAGUGGCCUCUAAGGGAACCAGUGGUGAUGACAGGUCAUGGACGGUGGAUAGUAGGUGUCUGGAACCCUGAGGUUCAAUACAAUAGAUAUUCUGUUUUCUCUAUUUACUUGAUCGUAUGGGUAGAUGUUAGGAAGUAUAAAGAUCAUGUUCUUAUUUUGGAUGAAUACGUUUAGAUGUGUUGUUAUGAAUGGACCAAUGAUAGAACCACUAAAGGAAAUAUAAAUAAUAGAGUAAGAAGAAAAGGCAAGUUAUUGUCUAAUUAGGAACGUAACAUGGUGAAGCAAGAAAUACUAACAAAAUUUGCAAACACUGAUGCCCAUUAUGAAAUAGAUGUUUCCAGGGUGUCUCUUCUUUUGCCAAAGAUUAUAUAGAUAUGAAUAAUUAAGAGUCGGUUUUAUUAUUCUGGAUCAGUGUCAAGUUUGAAGGUUUCCUUUUUGUUAAGAGAAAAAAUCUACAUUAUGAAAGAUUUAUAAAUUCCUAAAUGAGUAAGUUCAAUGUGGAAAGCAAGAAUCAGUGGGAAUAAAGAUUUCAUCAUUUUUUUCUGUCAUCACUGUGGUUUGUACUUCUCAGAAUGGACACAUUCAAGCUAAUCAGGCAUUCCUCCCUGGUUGGUGAGCUUGGUGACAGCAUCUGUGUGUCAGAAGCACAGAGAUGGAUAAACAGACACGCUGCACCUGGUGUAAGGAUCCUUCCCUGAUCAGGAGCUCUAGGAUUGCUCUGGAAGGAGUAGGAAGAUCAGUUACUCUUCUGAACGGAUGCUGUAGCUGAUUUCAGCUUCUGCCCUGAUGAAGAAAGACUGUUGUGUGGCCUGGGUCUUAGGAGGGUAAGUCAAGGUGAGUAGCAAGAGAUUUUGUCUUGGUGUGGGUCAUUUCCCUUAGGGUAUUCACAGUGUUAUUAAAAAUUCAUAAAUACCAUCAAAAAGUAAGGUGUUGCCCAAUGGUAAACACAGAUAGGAAACAUACCGAUUAAGUGAUAAUACGUAACAUGGAGAUUGACUGAUGAGAGAGAUAUAAUCUAUGUUGGCAUUUAUUCUACAGAUAGAAGUUAGGGAAUUCAACCUGCUGAUUCUUCAGUUUUUGUUAAUUAUGUAUUUUACUAUAAUCGAUGAGUUAAAUAUGUAACUGGUAUAAAUGUCGAAAUGAAUGAAGAAAAAGUGGGUCUUUUAUGUACCUGUGAUAAUGACUGGUGGCAGAUGAGUUAGGGACGCUGAAUGAGGUCCAGGUCAAUAUGUAGUCUUUCUCUCUGUUUAUUUGAUCCUAAGGAUAGAUUUUUGGAUAGUACAAAGAAUGUUUUUACUGGGUUCAUAGAUUUAGAUGUAUUAUUAGAAAUAGAUCAGUAAUAGAACCAUUAAAGAUAUAGAAACAGCAGAUAAAUACAAAAACGUGAGGCAUUGUCCAACUUUGAAGACCUGUUUUUAGGCAAGAAAUAUUAAUAAAAAUUGUGAACACUGACACCCGUUAAGAAUUAAAUGGAUCAAGAGUGUCACUUCUUUGGCCAAGGGUCAUUUAGACAUGAGCAAUUUAGAGUCCAUUUUAUUGUUCUUGAUCAAUCUCAAGUUUGAGGAUUUUUGGUGCUGUUGUUGUUAAAAGAAAAAAAAACAAUGUUAUGAAAUAUUCAUAAAUAUCUGAAUGACUGAGUAAAUGAAAUGUGGAAAGCAAGCAUCAAUGUAAGUAAAUGUUUUGUUUUAUUUUAUUUUUUAUCACCAACUCUGCCUUUCAUUUCUCAAAAUGGACACACCUCGAGCUGAUUUAAGCAAUAUUCCGUGGCGGUGAGCUCUGUGGUUGCAUCUCUGUGUUAGAAGCACAGAGAACCAUAAUGGAAACACUUGAGCUGAUUUAAUGUCUUCCACGAUUAUGGAGCUCUAUGGUUGCCUCUGUAUAAUGGGAGGAUGGGGAUUAAUACCAUUGGACCUGCUUUAAUGAUUCUCACCUGAUCAAGAGCCCUUGGGUUGCAUCUCUGUACUGGGGAGACAGGAGACCAAUAAUGGACACACCUGAGCUGACUAAGCAUUGUUUCGUGGUGGCGAGCUCGUGAUGGCGUCUGUGUGUUAGAAGCACAGAGACCAAUAAUGGAUAUCCCCGAGCUGAUUAAAGCAUCUUCCAUGGCCAUGAUCUCCUGGUUGCCUCUAACAAUGGAUGCACUCAAGCUGAUCGUAACAUUCCUCCAAGGUCGUGAGCCCUCAGGUUGCAUCUAUGUUGUAGGAGCGUGGAGACCACAACAUAAGGAUUCUUCCCUGAUCACGAGCUCUAUCUAGGGUUGCAGCUCUGUUACAGGAGUCUGGAGACCAACAAUGGACCCACUUGAGCCGAUGUAAACCUCUUCCGAGGCAUGCGGUCUCCAGUUGCAUCUAUGUUGUUAGGAACAUUGGAGACCAGGAACGGACACACUUGGCCUGAUUCAAGUAGCACGACCCGGUGGCAGAGGGACCGAUGUGCGUAAGAGUCGGAGUUCUUGUCUGGCUUUCAAACGAUGCACUUGAGCUGAGUUAGCAUCUUCCAUGGUCAAGAGCUCUAUGGUUGCCUCUCUAUAAUAGGACGGAAAUUAAUAAUGGACACCCUUGAGCUGAUUUAAGGAUUAACCCACAGUCAUCAUGUUUAUGUUGGCAUCUCCCUGUUAGGAGCAUGGAGAUCAAUAAUGGACACACCUGAGCUGAUUUAACAUCUUUCAUGGUCACGAGCUCUAUGGUUGCAUAUGUGUGUUAGGAGCAUGGAGACCAGUAAUGGACUCGCUUGAACUGAUGUAAGCAUCUUCCAUGGUCCUGAGCUCCUGGUUGCAUCUAUUUAUUAGGAGCAUAGAGACCAGUAAUGAAUACCCUCAAGCUGAUGUAAGCAUCUUCCACGGCCAUGAACUCCAUAGUUACAUCUCUGCAUUAGGAGCAUGGAGAUCAAUAAUGGGCACGGCCAUGCCAAUUUUGGCAUUCUGUCAUGGCCCUGAACUCAGUGGUGUCUUUGGAGAACGGAGACCCUUGUGUGUGAGUAACAGUCGAACUUUUUGUCUUGGUUUGGGCAAUUUUUAAGAGUGGUCAAUGCAUUUUUAAGAAGUAGGAAAUAGAAUCAAAGGCCAAAUAUGACCCAGUAAUAAACAUGGGACUGGUACAAAACAUUAGGUUGAGAUGUCCAUACGUGAAACACAGAGGCUGAUUUCAGAAACAGAUCUAAUGUCUGUGGGAAAUGAUUCCAUAGAUAGCUAUUAGGGAUAUCGAGGCUCUUAUUCUGGGUGUUUUGGAUUCAUGUAUAUUUCUUCAUGAGUAAGUAGUGAGUUAAUGAAUAAGUCAAUAGACAAAAUAUAAAGGAAUAGAAGGAAUAAGUCAAUAGACAAAAUAUAAAGGUUCACAAGCUUGGGCCAUUGAUGGUGCCUGGUGGUGUAAGAGUCAAGGAUGACGAAUGAUACAUGUCUGGACCCCUGUAUGGAAGGUGUUGAAUCAAUACAUUGUACACCUGAAACUGAUAUUACACUGUAUGUUAAUUAAUCGGAAUUGAAAUAAAAACUUAAAAAAAAUAAAAUAGUUCAUAUUCAUUUCCCCCUUUUUUUCCAUCUACGGUACUUUACGGAAUGGAUACACGUAAGCCGAUAAUCAUUCUGUAAUGAUCAGGACCUUGAUGGUUCAAUGUGAGUAAUACUCUAAAUUCUUGUUUUUGUGUAUACAAACAAUGGGGGUUGUCUGUAUAGGGUAUUCAGAGUUGUCUGCGUGAUUGAAAAGUAUGGAAUAUAACUUGUGGGGAUGAGCCCUGGGUGUUAUAUGUAGGGGAUGAUCGCUGGAAUUUACUCCUGAAAUCAUUAUUGCCCUAUACGCUAACUAACAUGGAUGUAAAUAAAUAAAUAAAUAAAUAAAUAAAUAAAUAAAUAGUAUGGAAUAUAAUCAAAGAAAGCCACAUGAGGACCAGCGAUGAGAUUGUGUCACAAACCAAGGUUCAUGAUAUAUCUGAUUUAGCACAACACAUCCUUUUAAAAAAGGAGUUCUAAUCUUUUACCUCUGAAGGUGUGGGACCCAGAGUAAACUGCCUGCCACUCCUAGUUCUUUUUCUUUUUUUAGUUUACUUGUUUAUUUUGAGAGAGAGAGAGAGAGAGAGAGAGUCAGAGAGGCAGAAUCCCAAACAGGCUCUGUACUGACAGGACAUGGGGUUUGAACUCACAAACCGUGAGAUCAUGACCUGAGCAGAAUAUCAAGAGUCGGACGCUUAACCAACUGAGCCACCCAGGCGGCCCAAAAUAGAUGUAAAUAACUUCUAGAAAGUCGUGCGUAGGCCAGUAAUGUGAAUAUGUUAUGAACCACAGUUUGGAUAAUUAAUCCAAAUUAGCGCAAAUGAAGGACAAGUAAAGAACUUUGCUUUUUUCAUUCAUUUCAAAACUCAAAGUCUCAUUUUAUGUUUGUUCCACUGAUUUUUUUUAUUUAGUUAGUCCCACUGAUGAUUUAAACAUUUCCCUCUUGAUAAAGAUCUAGGCUGAUACUCAUUUCGAGAGUCGGUAUUCUAGUUGUUGAGCAGGUUGGUGGGUUCAUGGUUGGCCUCUGUAACACCUAACAAUGGUUCAGUGUAAUCUCUAAAAGUUAAAUGCUGAAGGAUUGCACCCGCACCAAUGAUGUGAAUGGAAUACAUCUGAAUAAAAAUUAUGAUCAAUCAUUUUUUGAACCACUGAGGUUCAGCACUCACAAAGCGAACUAGUGUAGGACUUUUGGGGAGUGGUCUCAGGAAAGGUCAAGAAUCUAGUUGAGAAAGGUUCAUGGAUUUGACUUUAUAUUAUUAGUGAAUAAAUGAAUGUAUCAAUAAGCAAAUAUACUCAAAGGUAAAGAAAAUUAGGUCAAAACAUGGACCAAUUUAGAGGAUGUGUUAUAAAACGGGAAAUAUUCUGUAUUCAGUUCUGAAAUACUUUGGUCAAGUAAGAAAAAAAAAAACCAUAGAUUAAGGUUGUUACCACUUUGUGUAAGAAGCCACUAGGUAGAGGGAGUUUAUGAGUCGAUGUUCUGCUGUCUAUUUGCAGUGGGUUUCUAUGUGUUUGUUUCGUGAAGGAAAAAAAAAAAAGUUGAAAUGAAAGAAAUGGCUAACUGAAUGAGUGAGUGCCAAGAAUGAACCAAUGAUGACUAUAUUUUAUUCUUUAUUACAUCUGCUUUGUGCCGAGAAUGGCCACACAUUGGCUGCUUUUGUCAUUACACUUAAUGGUGAGGAUCCUGACUGUUACUGAUGUGGCCAAAGAAAGCAUAGAUUAGGAAAGUUCCCAAAUGACACCCACGUAAUACGCAGAUUCCCCUGUCCAAGAAGAAUGGCGAGUUCGACGAAGUUCUAGAACAAUGCCAGUUUGGAUGGGAUGGGUCCAGACUAUGCACCUUUAAGACAGCAUAACAUGCCGUUCUGCCAGGGACAGAUUGACGAGAAAAGUAAGUUGGCAACAUCUUUGCCCUCUGUGGGUAUUUGCCCAAGACCGCCCCCCCCUCCACUGCCCCCUCCCUAUAUUGCAUCAUUCCUCCCUCCUGCAAUUAUGUGUUAUACUUUUAUACCCACUCUAUGGCUGACACUGACCACUCCCCCUCUUCUCCUGUCUUGCCUGUUCCUGACCCUGGAUUCCAUCUCUCACUCCUGGUUUCAUGUCCUUCCUUUGGACUUGGCGAUGUAACGGUCAUUUGGCUUGGAAUAUAGCCUUCUCCUUCCUGAAGAUUGGAUUUCAGCUCAAAUCAUUGGCCUUUCUCCUUCGGACUGAAUCAGGAAAGAGCAGUGUGUGCCUCGAAGUCACCAGAACCUUCCAGGCUUUGGGCUCCUCAUCUGUGAGAGGGAAGUCAUUCUGCAUGGAGCCGUGGAGGUGUGGUUUCCUGAGCACGAGUUUUCCCGAGGACGCUUCUGAUGCGGGGAGCCCCUGCCUCACUGGAAUGUCUGGUUCUGGUCACUGGGGAUUCAAAGCAGAGGCCAGUGUGACCCCUUCCUGCCCAGAGGAGUUCCCAUUCCAAGAGGAGACAUGAGUGGCGUCCUCUCCAAUCAUGGACACAGAGAAAAUAAAAGCCAUCAAAAGGAACUCCCCACGGCGUCCCUCCAUUAGCCUUGCCCCAUUGCUUCUCUUUACCUGAUGACCGGUGGAGGAAGCCACCUGCCGCUGGCCCGUGGCACGCCGCCACCUGAGCACGGGCUCCACCCCGCCUUCCCCAUCUCCUCUGGAGCCUUCCACUGUCAUGGCCGGCCUCUCCCCUCUCCCCUCUCCCGGGCCCUUCCCGUUGGGUCUUAGCAUGCUGUAGUGCCUUCAGUCUUUACAAAAUCCCAGGAAGCUGCCUCCUCCCUCUACGUGCUACCCUCUUGGUGCUUUCUCUGUAUCUCACUUUCAGCUGGCUUCCGCCUCUACUGCUCCACGGGGAGAGCUUUCAUGAGGCUCACCAGGGGCCUCCGGCUGAUGGCUCAGACUUCUCGCCGGCGCUUCAGACUUGGCGCCCUUCUCGCCUACUUGCCAUGCCAGACCUCUGCACGGGUUCUUUCUGACCUUUUCUUACGGCUCACUAUUCCUCACCUGCAUUCCGGGCAUCACCGAAUCUCUCGCGUCCUUCUUCCUGACUGUUCUCAAGCGUGCCCCCCUCCCCACAUCCGUGACCCCUACCGUGCCCAGGGUGCAGCUCUCGAUUUUGAACUCCUGUACUCUCCCCCUCCCCCGCUCUUGCCCCUAGAAGCACUGUCUCUUCAUAUCAGCAAGAGGUAUCGUAGAAAAAGCACGAAGCUCCCAUCUUUUAUCAGCUAAUAAUGGCUUUCCUGUGCCCGAGUAUACAAUCUGUAAUCUUUAACCUUCGUUAUAAGCCUCUGAACGAUCCAGCCUCCGCCUAGCUCCUCAGCCUUAUUUCUGGCACGUUUCUGGCUCUCUGCGCCCCAUUCGCAGGCCUGCUCGUUUGGUCACCACGCUCCAUCCAGACCAUGCUUCCCCUGUCUAGUCCGUGCUCCACCUGGACCCUUCUCCACCCAGUCCUCCGCCCUCCACCCUGCAUUUCCACUCCUGUCCCCUCUCUUCCUGUUUUCUUUUCCCGUCCUCCAUCUUUUGCUUUAAACGGCUUCUGAGGAGCUCCCCCCGCCCCCACCCCGCCUGGGUUGGAUCUUCUCCCUAAAUGUUCCCGGCUCCUUCCCAACACUUCGGCCUCUUUUAAUUUUGGAGUUAACGUCCUGCGAUAAUUAUAUCAAUGCGGGUCUCCCCUGCUAAGCUAGAGGCUGCAGGGGGGGAAGAGACGAUGUUUUAUAUUCACAGUUCCAGCACCUCAGGAGCGUUUAAAAAACAUGAACUUACUUCUCUGCCUGCUCACAUGGAAGAUGGGCUCGUGCUGGAAGAGGGACACAGGCGGGGUGCUGCGGAGGGUCGGGGCACGCCUAGGGCUGAGUUGGCCGAGGUGGGGUCAGGACUCGGGGAGCAGGAAAAGGGUGGGGGUCUAGGCGGAAGCCUUGAGCGCCAUUCUAAGGGCUUUGGUCUUCAGCAACGGGGUUGUGAGCAGGGGGCUGACAUGCUCUGCACCGGGUUUCAAGACUUGGUGGGUUAGCUGUGUCCCCCCACCCUGCCGCCCGGGAGCCUGCUCUUGCCCCGUCUUUGGAGACCAACCGGUGUCAUGGCUGUGUGUUCCAUUUCUGCGGGGGUGGGGGGGGUGGCUGGGGAUUGACAGUUAGACCUCGAGAGGGGAUGGAGAGACUCAAGGGAAGCCUCUUGGAGGAGGUGGAGAUGUGGAGCAGGUGCAGGGGCUAGAAGAACCCCCCCCCCGCCCCCCCCCCCCACUCCCGCUCACCGGGGUGCGGGACUGGCAUAUACCGGGGUGGGGUGGUUGCUGUAUGGCAAGGACUGUCCUAGCACGGGUGAGCUCAGGCAGUUUGCCACCCCAGAAGUUGAGGGGCCCCCUGUCGCCUGUGAGCUCUGCCCUGGAGCGUCCCACGCUGCCCUGCAGAGCAGACCACUGCCCUUCACUUUGAGGAAGAGAUAGCUGACCACGUGGCCGAAGCACGGUCAACGUUGCGUGGUUCGCCUCUCCUCAGGCUCUCCGAGCUGGCAUGGCCUUCCCGGGAGAGAGGCCACUUCAGGGUAGAGGCCCUGCCCCCCCAUUUAUGUUCACCACGUGUCUGCUUCCCAGUGCCAAAUCAGAAAGCUUUCUGGAGGUGACAGCAACUUCAGGGACAAGCCCCGGUCUGGGGUCAGCACCACUCCAUGGUUCCUGAAGAGGUGGUAGACUGUGGAACGUAGGCUUUAUGAUUUUUGACCUAUGUAACAUGGUCCACUAACUCUCAGUAUCCACUCCAUCCUCGGAGGGCACCCCGGAGGUGUUGCCAACGUGAGGGAAGAGAACACUGGGUUUAGCUCCGGCACCGCUCCGUGGUAGUUCCCGGUGCCUCUGCCCGGUGUCCGAAUUGUGCGCCAAGGCCUAUUACUAACUGCACCCUCUGGGCGGUUGCUGGAGGGGAGGCAGCUCGGGGGCAAAGACGCCGAUUCCAGCCUCAGCCGUGGUGCUUGAAGAGACGCUUUUCCGUGUGGCGUAUGCACGAGGAAGCCUUUGCGUGGCGUGGUCCCCCACUUCCCGGAAGCCCCGCCAGCUUCGGGAGGGCUUCGUGGGACCAGUGCCGCCUUCGGGGGGAGCCACCGGCCCGGCCUCCGUCUUGCCGUGUGGUUUUGAAGAGCUGUCGCCCCUGUGUUGAAGUUCCCGUGUUUGUGCCCAUGCCCACCUCUGAUCGAUAUUAAAUGCAAUCUCAGAGGGCUUUCUGGAGGCGGUGCCGAGAUGGGGGAGGAAGCGGAGGUUCUGACCUUAGGGAGUCAGUUGGCCAGAACGACAUCUGCUUUGCUUACGAAGAUGGCGUGGUGGUUACUGCUCAGAUCCAGUCCGGCCUGAGAGGACCUCUGGGAAGUGCCCCCCUGACUUUGCGGCGGAGGUGGCCGUGAGUCUUUCCUCGUGGCGUACGUGUGUAUUUUCUAACGCCCGGUGCCAGGGUUUACAGCCUGGGCUUCACAUGCCCUGGGACUGCCUGCUUGGCCUGCUCAGCAUGACUGGGCAGGUGUUCUUUCCGGUUGCACACAGGCCGUCCCAGAGCGGUCAUUCGGCCCGCCGCUCCCCCACGCGGUCCCGUGGGCCAAACGCCACGGCCGCCCUCCCGCUGUGCCCGCCCACCCGUUCCCUCCGAUCCAGCGCGGGGCCCGGCACGUAGUGAGCACUUGAUCGGUAUUUCUGGAACCGUGAAAUCGGUAACGUCGUCCGCUCCUGCUCGGCGGGACUUGCGGCCUUGGAGGGCUUCCUGGAGGAGCUGCCAGCUUUGGGGAUAAGCCACCAGUUCCAGCGUCGGCACCGACUCCUGACGGUGGAGACAAGACUCCUAGCCUGUUGUGUGCUUGUCGCAUGAUGCAUGUGUUGUGCUCGACCUGCCUUCUGGUUCCCCCAGCUCUGGAAGGCUUUCUGGACCUGCCCGCCACCUCUGCCCUCGGCGUCCCUGUGUGGUACUUGGAGAGA